GCAGAGAAUACUGUGAGACUUGGGAAUGGAAGAAGCCGGCGGUACUUUUUGGGAAGGAGUAAAAUCCUCAGAUCCAAAAAGGACCAUCAGUGGCGAAGGCGGCCGGCUAGGACAUGUCCGACGGUGAGGGACGAAAGCUGAGGUAGCGAUCCGGAUUAGAUACCCGGGUAGUCUCAGCUGUAAACGAUGCAGACUAGGUGUGUGAGCAAACAUGUGUUGCUCAUGUGCCGUAGAGAAAUUGUUAAGUCUGCCGCCUGGGAAGUACGUCCGCAAGGAUGAAACUUAAAGGAAUUGGCGGGGGAGCACCACAAGGGGUGAAUCUUGCGGUUUAAUUGGAGUCAACGCCCGGAAACUUACCUGGGGGGACAGCAGAAUGAAAGCCUAGCUAAAGACUAUGCUAGACAAGCUGAGAGGUGGUGCAUGGCCGUCGCCGGUUCGUACCGUGAGGUGUCCUGUUAAGUCAGGCAACGAACGAGACCCAUAUUCCUAGUUGCUAGAAUGAUUUCUCGAAAUCAUUAAGGAAACUAGUUAGACUGCCGCUGUAAAGCGGAGGAAGGAAUGGGCUACGGCAGGUCAGUAUGCCCUAAAUCCUCAGGGCCACACGCGAGAUGCAAUAGCAUGGACAAUGGGUUCUGACCCCGAAAGGGGUAAGAAAUCCUUAAAUCAUGCUUCAGUUG
rnacentral:rRNA from 1 species